UAACGUAGGGUGCGAGCGUUGUCCGGAAUUGAUUGGGUGCGUAAAGGGCUCGUAGGCGGCUUGUCGCGUCGACUGUGAAAUCUCAGGGCUCAACUCUGACAUUGCAGUCGAGUACGGGCAGGCUAGAGUUCGGUAGGGGAGACUGGAAUUCCUGGUGUAGCGGUGAAAUGCGCAGAUAUCAGGAGGAACACCGGUGGCGAAGGCGGUUCUCUGGGCCUGUACUGACGCUGAGGAGCGAAAGUGUGGGGAGGCGAAACAGG
rnacentral:rRNA from 1 species